rnacentral:SRP_RNA from 13 species
AGCAGAUCCAGCAUAGGCACCCCCUCCUGGGCGGCGGUGGAGCCGGAAUCACAGUCU